rnacentral:rRNA from 1 species
UACGUAGGGCGCAAGCGUUGUCCGGAAUUAUUGGGCGUAAAGAGCUCGUAGGUGGCUUGUCGCGUCUGCCGUGAAAGCCCAUGGCUUAACUGUGGGUCUGCGGUGGAUACGGGCAGACUAGAGGUAUGCAGGGGAGAACGGAAUUCCUGGUGUAGCGGUGGAAUGCGCAGAUAUCAGGAGGAACACCGGUGGCGAAGGCGGUUCUCUGGGCAUUACCUGACGCUGAGGAGCGAAAGUGUGGGGAGCGAACAGG